GGGCCCGUAGCUCAGCCAGGUUAGAGCGCCAGGCUCAUAACCUGGUGGCCGUGGGUUCGAAUCCCACCGGGCCCAC
rnacentral:tRNA from 1 species